UCCAUGGAGGACUAGUGGUUAGGCCACAGCACUCACGCCGCCGCGUCCAAGUUGGAUUCCUGGCCAGAGAA
rnacentral:tRNA from 1 species